rnacentral:rRNA from 1 species
UGCUUACACAUGCAAGUCGAACGGGAUCCAUCAGGCUUUGCUUGGUGGUGAGAGUGGCGAACGGGUGAGUAAUGCGUGACCGACCUGCCCCAUACACCGGAAUAGCUCCUGGAAACGGGUGGUAAUGCCGGAUGCUCCAGUUGAUCGCAUGGUCUUCUGGGAAAGCUUUCGCGGUAUGGGAUGGGGUCGCGUCCUAUCAGCUUGACGGCGGGGUAACGGCCCACCGUGGCUUCGACGGGUAGCCGGCCUGAGAGGGCGACCGGCCACAUUGGGACUGAAAUACGGCCCAAACUCCUACGGGAGGCAGCAGUGGGGAAUAUUGCACAAUGGGCGCAAGCCUGAUGCAGCGACGCCGCGUGAGGGAUGGAGGCCUUCGGGUUGUAAACCUCUUUUAUCGGGGAGCAAGCGAGAGUGAGUUUACCCGUUGAAUAAGCACCGGCUAACUACGUGCCAGCGCCC